GACGAACGCUGGCGGCGUGCUUAACACAUGCAAGUCGAACGGAAAGGCCCUGCUUUUGUGGGGUGCUCGAGUGGCGAACUGGUGUGUAACACGUGAGUAACCUGCCCUUGACUUUGGGAUAUCUUCAGGAAACUGGGGCUAAUACCGGAUUGGAGCUCCUGCUGCAUGGUGGGGGUUGGAAAGUUUCGGCGGUUGGGGAUGGACUCGCGGCUUAUCAGCUUGUUGGUGGGGUAGUGGCUUACCAAGGCUUUGACGGGUAGCCGGCCUGAGAGGGUGACCGGCCACAUUGGGACUGAGAUACGGCCCAGACUCCUACGGGAGGCAGCAGUGGGGAAUAUUGCACAAUGGGCGGAAGCCUGAUGCAGCAACGCCGCGUGCGGGAUGACGGCCUUCGGGUUGUAAACCGCUUUCGCCUGUGACGAAGCGUGAGUGACGGUAAUGGGUAAAGAAGCACCGGCUAACUACGUG
rnacentral:rRNA from 1 species